rnacentral:rRNA from 1 species
GAUGAACGCUGGCGGCGUGCCUAAUACAUGCAAGUCGAACGAGGUGCCUUUGUAGCAAUACGAGGGUAUCCUAGUGGCGAACGGGUGAGUAAUACAUCGGAACGUGCCCAGUAGUGGGGGAUAGCCCGGCGAAAGCCGGAUUAAUACCGCAUGAGACCUGAGGGUGAAAGCGGGGGAUCGCAAGACCUCGCGCUAUUGGAGCGGCCGAUGUCAGAUUAGCUAGUUGGUAGGGUAAAGGCCUACCAAGGCAACGAUCUGUAGUUGGUCUGAGAGGACGACCAGCCACACUGGGACUGAGACACGGCCCAGACUCCUACGGGAGGCAGCAGUGGGGAAUUUUGGACAAUGGGCGCAAGCCUGAUCCAGCAAUGCCGCGUGCAGGAAGAAGGCCUUCGGGUUGUAAACUGCUUUUGUCAGGGAAGAAAUCUUCUGGGCUAAUACCCUGGGAGGAUGACGGUACCUGAAGAAUAAGCACCGGCUAACUACGUGCCAGCCGCCGCCGUAACAC